AAGCUCGUAGUUGAAUUUCGGGGUCAGUAGGUUGGUCGUGCCACCGGUACGUACUGGUCUCACUGAUUCCUCCUUCCUGAUGAGCUGUAAUGCCAUUAAUUUGGUGUUGCAGGGAAUCUGGACUGUUACUUUGAAAAAAUUAGAGUGUUUAAAGCAGGCUAACGCUUGAAUACAUUAGUAUGGAAUAAUGAAAUAGGACGUUCGAUCCUAUUUUGUUGGUUUCUAGGAUUGACGUAAUGAUUAAUAGGGAUAGUUGGG
rnacentral:rRNA from 1 species